CCCAGAUAUCUCCUUUUUAUGGAGGUUGAAGUUUAAAGAAGCACUUACUGUAGCAGUCUGGAUAGGCUAGGAUACACAAUGGAAAACUAAAUCUCAAGACCUCAAAAUAACAAGAGUAAAUGCCGUUUUGUCAAUGAAAGAGGGAUGCUUGCGAUGAUGUGAAGGAUGUCUGAGAAGAGGUGUAUUUCUGAAGGAAAGAAAGAACACAGCAUACUCCUUGGAUAAAUCUCAUUUUCUUCCUUGUUAAGCCUUUUUUUCCCAUUGCAUUCUCUACAAACCCCUGGCCCACUCUUUCCUCCUCUUUCUACUUCCUUCCUUUCUCACCUGUACCCCAAACUAUAUUUGUAAACUCUUGCAGUGUUACUUUUGCACAGGGCUUGAAAUAUUUAACACCUUUGUUUUUAAUACAUGAGAAAAAUAAGAUCUAUAGGAAAGGAAACAACUUAACCAGUUUGAACAGGUAAUUGAUAGACUACAGUCCUCUCUCAAAUGUUUACUAAUGACACAUAUGCAUGGAGAUGGGAAUGUAUACAUACACACACACACAUACACACACACACAAACACACGUAUUGACUGGUUGAAACAUGACAGUUCUCCAGUACCUGGGAAUUAAAGGAGGGUGCAUUAGCCAUCCCUACCUUUACCUCAAUAUCCAUUUUAGGAAGGAUUAGAAAUUAAUUUACAUGAUUGAACAUACCAAGGGCUUUGAAAGCAGAAAAAUAUGAAAUUCAGAUUUUUCACUUCUUCAUCCUGGAGGUUCAGUUUUCCCAACACUAAAAUGAGGAUAGUAACACCAAACAUGGGAAUUGUUGAAGUGAUCAGUGAAAUAGAUGCUGUAUUAUAGGCCUAGCUCAGUUUAUGCUCUUAUCUUAAGAUUCUCUCUCUGGAAACCAAACCACCCCUGGAAUGGGCUCUGGUGGUCCUUACAUGAACAUAAGGCAUGCAUAACCCCUUUGAUAUUGUGAGUGUUUCUCUGCAUAUGAGCAUUCUUUUCUUCAGGGAAAAGUUCCUAACUUUUAUUAGAUUCUCAAAGUUGUCUGUAUUUCCUAUUAUUUUAAGAAAACUGACUUAAAUAGAAGGUGUAAUUGCGAAUGUUAACAAUAAUAAUUACAAACACCAUAACAUUACUAAUAUUUCACUACAAACAAAUAAUAAUAGUAUUAUUAUUAAUAUUCAAUUAUCUGAACAUGAGCCAAAAUUGGUGGAUGAAUCACAUUUAAAUCAUCGGGUGCUUUGCUUUCACCAGGUAAAAAGUUCCAAUUUCUUCUUAUUACAUUAAAUCUUAAGAACCUAUUUCACUCUUAUCCACAAAAAGGAACUCAUUUCCCCUAGAAAGGCAGGCUAAUGAGGUCUGCUUAAUUUAUAGCUGGGUCCAUUUAUGUGGUGGUUUCAUUAACAAAGACAUCUAUUUAAUUCAAUAGAUUCCUACACGUGGUACACAUAGAAGACACUACUACCCCCAUUCACUCCCCAUCCAUUCAUUACCCUAAUGCUUCUGACACACACAAACAAACCUUGUUUUACAAAUUGCUUAGAGAUUUGAUUAUUGCAUCAUGCAUUUUGUUGUAACAAGAAAGGUGAUUUAAAAUCAUUAGUCCUAAAAUUUAGUCCUGUGUGUGCUUUGAAGUCAAGGGGAACAAUUUGUCAGCUGGUUGAUCUUUUGCUUCUAAAGCUAGUUAACUGAUCAAUCUAAUGUCAAAGGAACAGAGAUAAAUGGGAGACAUUUUACUAUGUAGAAAACGGUACAUGAAGAUAAAUCCAACACUGUGCUUUAUUUCAUCUGCAGUUAUCUUUGUAGUAAUUGCUUUGGAAGACUCAAGGUGCUCUUUGCACAUAGGGAGUGUUAGAAGCCUUUAAAUCAUCUGCAUAGACUAGUAGCUUCUUGCUGCGAAUCUUGCUUUGCUCCAUUUUUGGGUAGAGAGGACAAUAAUCUCCUACUAUAAAUGCAAAUUUGGCAAGGACCAAAGGUUGGGAUUCUUGACUAGUUGUUUAUUGAACAAUCAAUUCAUACAUUUCUGAAAUUUCUUGACAUGCUUGCAAAGUAGAUCCAUUCCUUAUUGAAUUCAUUUGAUUUUCACUAUGACCAUAAUGAUUAAACUAGUUCUGGAGUAAACGUUUCCUAAUGAACAGAUUUGGAUGUACCAGCUGUUCCAGUUAUCUCUGUACAAAACAACCCCCCCAACUAUCUGGCUUAAAACAAAAGACAUAUAUUUCAUAAUUUUGUAAAUCAAAAAUUGAAAUUGAGUGACAACAGCAAAGGAAACUUAAAAAUAUUUAGCCAUCAAUGAACUGUAGGGUCCAAUAUACCUUCAUUUACAUGUCUGGUACCUUGGAUGCAGGGAAUGAUUGGAAGGCUUGUCUAGUAGACUCAGCUGUGACUGCCAAUCAGAGUACCUCCAUUUGGCUUCUCCAACAAGAAGUAUCAGAUAAACUUCUUACUUGACAUCUCAGGGCUCUCAGAGAGUUCUAAAAGGCCAUACUGGAAGCUGCAACAGUUCUUAUCAGAGUAUCAGUUGCUACUAGGUCAAUUUAUGGACAAAUCACUCAGGUCAUCUCAGACUCAAGGUAAGAGAAACUAGACUCUACCUCAUAGAGAAGAGAAAAACACGGUAUCCAUAUCCUUCUUUAAUCUACCACUCCAGAACAUUUUGAUUCUAUACAAGACCCAUUAUCAAAUCAUUCUGCUGCCAUCACCUCAAGGUUUUAUAUGUUUUAGAAUGUUCAGCAAGACAGAUCAUGGUCAGGGUAAAAGAGCAGUAAUUGGUUAAGUAGCUAUUAUUCUGACAAGCUACAAAAGGGACUUGCAUUUUCUUAACUCUCAGAAAUUUUUUGUAUUUUUAGUAGAGACGGGGUUUCACCGAGAAACAUCUUCUUACUGAAAGUUAUGUGAACACCCAUUAGAAACCAGGGAGAGAGAUUUCAUUUCUUCCAGAGUAGGUUCAAUGCCUAGUUUUACCCUAUCAGAAUUUUGUCCGGGGCACUUAUCCAGUGACAAUUUUUUUUUCAUAAGAGCUAUUUUUCGUAAGACUGCCCAAAAUCUUAGGAAUGAUCCAAUUUUCCAGUAAUGACUAAUAUAUUAAGAUGCAUAUGAAGGCUCCUCUUUCAUUAUGAUAGUCACCCUCUCACCAUUGCCUACCGAAUACUGUCUCAACUCAUCGAACUGCCUGACUUUUCACAACGAAGCCUUUAAAGUUUAUUCAAAACUUCUCUCCUCACAUUCACCCUGUCCACCAGCGAGACCACCCCUCCCAUUGUCUCCAGAAUAAAUAUGGUGUUCCCACCUCUGGGAAAGUUAACAAUGACAAUUAUAUCAAUUGCUAAUAUUUGUUGAACACUUACAUCACUUGUUUGCUCUUUAGGCUACGUUGAUUGAUGUGAAUUGCAAUGGACACUCCGAUGCCGUUGGGAAGCACUUCUUGUCUGUUGUACUCAACACAAAGAACUGUCCACUCUUGAUAUUUUUUUUGUAAAAGCCUGUAUCAUGUCUUCCCAGACAAAUGUUCCAGGAAAGUAUGAGAUUUUGUCUCGUACUACUUGUUUUCACACACAAUGUCUCACACAGAGCAGGCACUCCACAAAUAAAUUACUAGUCCAGCAACCCUUUAUUACACAACUGUUACAUACUCCAUGCAAACAAGGAAAGCAAGUUAGAACAAAUGAAACACAACUUCAGGAAUAGUUUGUUGUUCAUUUGAAUUUGCUGAUAUUUUUAUGUUUGACUUUAGAGGAAUUUGAAUGAUUUAGGUCGGAAUUGCAUUUCUACAGCUGGCUGGCAGGACAACUUUGAACAGUCUACAGAGCUCCUAUUUUCCUCUCUCUGAAGUGAGGGUAACAACUGGUAAAAGUGUUGUAUGUCUAAAAUCACAAAAGUGAUGUAAAGCUUUACUUUUCAAAUUUUCUUGUGCUUAAAAAUCAUCUGGAAUCUUGUAAAAAGGGCUGUGGUCUAAAAGAAAGAGCCUGAGAUUCUGCAUUUCAGACAAGCUCCCAGAGAAGGUAAAUGAUGGCCCAUCGGCUACAGCUUGAGUAGCAAUGCUAUAAAGCACCUAAUAUUAAUACUCACUCUGAAAUGUUGUCCUCCCCUUCCUCCCUCCAUCUUCCUAUUUGAAAAUUCCAGGAGACAGAAAUGGAUUUUUAUUUACUCCAAACGUCCAGUCUGAUGGUCUCUCAAUUGUGUUCCUCGUUUAAAAUAGUGCGGCUCCUGCACUUUGUUUAACUCUGCUUGACAAUCAGUGAUUUGUGAUUCUGCUCUUUCCUGAGCAUGUUUAUAAAAUGACGACCUUGGGAUUGGAGUCUCUGCUGCCCAAAUGCAGGGAGCAGACUUUCUAUGGAAGAAUUGUGAAAGGUCAUUUUACCACUGUUUUUUUCUUUCUUCUUGUCUUUCUUUUUGUUUUUUUGCCUUGGCUUCAUAUGCUAAUGGAAUCAACAUCCCCAUUUGCUAUUUUAAUGUUUCUUAGAAAGCUUUAUCUCAGAAUUUCCUAUGGUUUGUAUGUGCAUUAGUCUUCUAGGUGAAUCAGAGGUUUCCUGCUAUAACACCAUGAGGUUUCUCAAUAGACCCUCUUGGCUCCUUGUUGAGUCUUUUGAAUGACUUUAUUAUAAUAAAGUUGACUUGGAGCCAGAGGAGGCAGAGCUCCAGUGUUGGGCUUUCUGUAGAAUUUUAUGGGUUUUUCUCAGAAGUUUAAUGCCAGUUUAAUGGAGUUUUAUAACUAUUAAUACUCUACCACUCCAGCUGCGCUAAGAAAUAUGUAACUAAACAAUAACUUGAAAUAGGUAAAUUCAUGAUUAAGUUGCACUAAAAACUAAUGCCUCUUGGCCAUAGUUCAUAAUUUCCAAAGGCACAUCAUUUAGAAUGAUUGGUAACUUUAGCCUUGUAACUCUUUCAAGGAGAAAGGCUGUGAGCUUAAAUCACUACAUUAAGCUGACAGUGAGGCUCAUAUUUUCUGAGCUAAAGAUAUAUUUUUAUGGCCACACAGUGGACUCUGUUUAUCACUCAUCAUAAACCAUAGGAAACCAUUUUUGUUUUAAAUUAGGUGCUUAGGCUUUUGUCCUGUAAUCUGUUUCUUUAUUUCCCCUUUUCACUUUUGUUGGUCCAUUUUCAACAACUCCCAAUCGUCUUCCGUUUCCUGAAAACAGCUCAUAUUUUAUAUCUCAGCUUCUUUAAAGGUAUUUCAUCCUAGUUGAGGUCACCUUAAUUUACACCUCAAAUUACAGUUCCAGAGCCAACUUCUUUGCUGCUGAUAUUGAGUAGUAAUCCUACUAAAGAGUCCAAUUUUAAAAUGAGGAACAGUCUUAUCCUACAAUGCCAGGCAUAAGAAGCCCAUGAAUUUUGCAUAUAUCUUUAGUACUUUAAUUUAUUGAAUUACAUUUCUCCACUUCUUUGAGCCACUUAGUCAAUUACACUUCAUUCUGCUGCCUCGUCUGGUUCUAGAAGCUGUCUGUUCACAAAGACCAUAACUAAGUCAGUUUUUCCCAGACGAGGCAACAGCCGCAAAUCAUCUGAAAGUGAAAUGACUGUGGAAUUUGAGGUUUAAUUGUUUUUAAGCCAUCUUGAUUAUGUUUAUUAAAAUAGAAGGUCUUGUCAAGUUAGACCUCUCUCUAUUUCUGUCUGUCUUUCUCCUCACCUCCCUCACUGACUUUUCAGCUCACUGAGGCCCAUCCUUUUAUUGCCUGAUUUUAUACAGUUGGAUGAGAAACACAUACUGGGCAGUGGCCACAGCCCCAUCAACUGAAAGGAAUAUGAUGGGAUCAGAAGUCCUCUUAAUGAAAAACUGUAUCUUUAAUUCCUGUGGAAUUUUAAAACAUGUGCAGUGCAAUCUAUAAAUGGCCAAAUAAAAAAAGAGCAAAUAAACAUAAGAUGUUACUGUGAUCUGGUAUAAAGCCUAUAUGGCAUAGCUGAGUUUCUACCCUGCCCUAACUCCACUUAUCUUGAAGAAAAAGGAUGCCUGUGAUCAAAAUUUUUCUUUGCAAACCAGACUAGCUGAAUUUCUACCCUGCUCUGACUCCACUUAUCUUGAAGAGAAAGGAUGCCUGUGAUCAAAAGUUUCCUUUGUAACCAGACCAGUUGAAACUGGUUAAAACCAAGAUAGCAGACCAAACGAUGUCAAAAGACUUUAGGCUUCAUUACGAUCUCAUUUCCAUGCUAAAUGACACUUCCAACAGUGCCAUGACAGUUGAUAUGUGCCAUGACAGCAACCAGAAUAAGCCAGAAAAGGACAAAAAGGAAGGCAGCACUCUGGUUCCAGGAAGUUCAUCACCUGUAUUAGUCUGUUUUCAUGCUGCUGAUAAAGACACACCAGAGACUGGGUAAUUUAUAAAGUAAAAGAGGUUUAAUGAACUUACAGUUCCAUGUGGCUGAGAAGGCUUCACAAUCAUGGUGGAGGGCGAGGGCGAAAGGCACUUCUUACAUGACAGCAGCUAGAUGGAGUUAAAGAGCCAAACAAAAGGGCUUUACCUUUAUAAACCCAUUACAGACUUAAUCACUACCAUGAGAACAGCAUGGGGAAAACUGCUCCCAUGAUUCAAUUAUCUCCCACUGGGUCCCUCCCACAACACGUGGGAAUUAUGGGAGCUACAAUUCAAGAUGAGAUUUGGGUGGGGACACAGCCAAACAAUAUCACCACCCAUUUCUGGAAAAAGACAUAGACAUUCUUCCUCUCAUGUUUAAUGUCCAACACCUUCAUCAGAAAACCCUAUAUUUUAACCCAUUCACUCCUCACUAGUCCAGGAGGAGUCAUGCUCCUGUUUCUCAGUUCCAUGGUGAUUGAGUAAAGCCUGCACUGCUUGACACUCACUUUCAGUUUUGUAUAUUGGCUUUCUGACACCAAACAGAGAGACCCCAUCCUUGGGGAGACCAGCUUUGUGGGUAACAGUUUAUCAUGUUUACAGUGAUUUUUUUUUUCGUAAUUUCUAGAACUGUUAAAAGAAAGCUUUAACACAAUAUCUUCUUACACAAUUGAAUAAGGAAAGUGGGCCUGCUCCUGAGCAUUGUAGGAGGUAAAACUCUAUGUUUUGCUCCUGAUUACUUUGGAGCUUUUUCUCACUCAGCUCUGUCUGCCUUUCUAUUGCCUUUAUUUGUUUACAUGCCUAACUUUAUCUUUCCA
rnacentral:lncRNA from 1 species